CCACCACCUCCAAGUCCUGUCUAUGUCUGCUUCCACACAGCCCUGUCCCCAGGGCACCAGCCUUCUGUCCCUCACAGCAGUGCCAUCGCGGGCAUUAGGAGUCUUCGUUAUGUUGUAUCCUUGUGAGUUCUUGACUACCAUGCCCAAGUUUCCCCCACUGGCAAUGGUUCCUCUCUUGGAGGUACAGUGGAAACCAGAGAGAUGACAGAUGUUGAGUCCUCAGUGUCUCAGAGGCAGCAAUUCUUGCUGGACACCUGCACAUGCUCAGCACAGAGGCUGGUACUUUGGAGGCACUAACCACUUGAUGAGUAAAUCAAUGGCAUAAAGCCCCAUUCCAAGUUAUGGGGUCUUUUGACAGGCCCCUUUCAUCCUCUUUCUCUUUGUAUAAACCUCAUGUUUCAGAACAAAAUUACAGUCUAAGUUCAUUUGCCCCCAGCCUUGCCCAAGGAUCCCCGGGCUGUGCUGACCCCUAGGCAUAGGGCAAAGGGUGUUCCCAAGCAGCAGGCACCUCAGUGCCCUCAGUUAUCCAGGGCAAGGGGCCUGGCUGCCCCCUGCUCCUCCCCAUGAUGCAGGGGCUUUCUAAGCCAGGCUGCAGACAGGGCAGGGUUGGCUUCUUGGCCAUUCCCUCUGUGCCCCCUUCUCCUUCUGACUGGUCUCACCCUGGAGAUCCCCAGAGGAUCUGACCAGAGCCAGGUGGACUGUGGCCCUGAGAUGGAGCUGGCUGCAGGCUUACAAGCACCUCUGGGGACAUCCAGAGGGGAGGGUCAGUAAGCACAACGGAGCUAGGGAGACUUCAGAUGGACUCAAACCCAGAGCAAUAAUACUCUCACACCACCCCACAGCUAAGGCACUCAUGUUCCCCAGUAGAUCAAGCCAGAAGCUUUGCAAGAAGGGAGUGGAACGAGGCUGCCUAUCCAAGGUCCAUCUACCACGCAGAACUUGGUCAUGCAAGUACAUUUGGAAAAUCUGGUCUUGGCCCGUCCCCCAUUGGCCUGGUCUACACAGCCAAAAAUUCAGACUAGAUUAGAUGUUUGCAGGCAAUUCUGUAGCAAAGCAAAUUCCCCUACCCCGUCCCUUCCCCCUAGAAGCUGCCUUAGCCUCCCUGACUGGGUGUGGUCUCUGGGCCUAGGACUCCUCCCUAUGAGGAAAAGUGCUCUCCAGCCACAUCUUGGCAGCCCCACAACCACAGCAUCAGGGCAGCUGCAGCAAGUGACCACCCACCCGUCGGGUUAGACACACAAGGCACCAGGCACUGGCAUCUGACUAAAAUAACCUUUCCCUACAUGGGAAGAGGAAAGCUUGUAGGCUGGCACAUAUAAACGUCCAGCCGCAGCCAGAUGGCCUGAACUAAGCAGCAGGAACUCUCUGGGCUGGGGAGGAGCCUCCUGCCCUUCUAGAAAGUGAUGCGUCAGCUUUGUUCUCCUGGGAAGGUGUUGCUAUACCCCAGGAACAAAGCAGGGCCCAACUGCCAGUGCAGUCAGCUGGGCCUGCGCUCCAGGCUCACCACCGCUAAGUGGUCAGGUACCGGGCCAGCAUCCUGGGAGGGACCUCUUGCGACUCUGAGUUGCAGCUUGGACUAGCUGAACACAUGGGGACAUGCUCCAGGGGCUUCUUCCCUGGCAGGAUUCCUGGGAUUUCAAACUACCUCACCAACAGGACGCUGAACCAGGAGCCUGCCACCCAACUGGCCCCCUUGGUGAUUGUGGAAGGUGAUGUUUUUCCUAAAAUGCAUCCCUCCUGUUCUGCUCCAUAUACAUGUGCUUCAAAAACCACCACCAGGAAAGCCUUCCCAGAAGAGGGAAAGGAUUAAGGGCUCUCUUCCUUUGGGCCCUGCAGAAUGUAUUGGAGGGAGGUGUUGCUGCAAGGUCCAGGAGCUGGGAAACUCUGGGCUCGGGGGGAGAUAAUGCACCACCAGCCUCAAAAAGGAGCUGCCCAAGUUGAAUAUGUAGCAAAGACCAUGGGAUAAGUUGAAUAGUGGCCAGACGAAUCACUAAUAACUCACCAUGGGACCCUCUGAAGAGAGGCCUGUGCUCGUGUAACCAUAGCAACAGCAGAUGCCAGCAACCUACUCAUUAGUACCACCCAGUGAUAAGGCAUCCCCUGGGCUAGACCCAGGGGCCAUAAAGUAGCAAAGUAGCAAAUGUAGCAAUAAAGGGCCCGGGUCUAUACGGGGACAGGGUCCAAAUGACCAGGACUUGGCCCUCUCCCCAGCCCCGAUGAGGGCUCAGAGCCAGCUGCUGUCAGCUGUCUGGGGAGGGAAGGCCCUGCUCCAUACCAGGGGUCCCUGUUCUAUACUCUAAGCCCACUCACCGCAUGAUCACGGACUCAUCGGAAUGGCCUCCUCUUAGUGCAUGUGGUUCUCUUUAGUUUAUUUUUCUGGAAUUUGGGGAUUGGACCCCAGAACCAAACAUGCUGGUACAGUCUAAAAAUAAAUGACUUGAACCCACUUCA
rnacentral:lncRNA from 1 species